UUUAGGCAUGCAAGUCGAGCGCGAAAGUCACCUUCGGGUGGCGAGUAGAGCGGCGCAAGGGUGAGUAAUGCUUGGGUAACGUGCCCCUGGGACCGGGAUAGCUGCUGGAAACGGCAGGUAAUACCGGAUGGUCAGUGCCGAUGGCAUCAUCGGUCCUGUAAAUGGUAGUUCGCUUCUGCCCGGGGAGCGGCCCAAGUCCUAUUAGCUUGUUGGUGAGGUAACGGCUCACCAAGGCGUUGAUGGGUAGCCGGACUGAGAGGUUGGCCGGUCACACUGGGACUGAGACACUGCCCAGACUCCUACGGGAGGCUGCAGUCGAGAAUCUUCCGCAAUGGACGCAAGUCUGACGGGGCGACGCCGCGUGUGGGAUGAAGGCCUUCGGGUUGUAAACCACUGUUGGGUAUCAGGAAUGUUCAGGGGUUAAUAGCCCUCUGAGUUGACCAAGACCUGAGGAAGCACAGGCUAACUCCGUGCCAGCAGCCGCGGUAAUACGGAGUGUGCAAGCGUUACUCGGAAUCACUGGGCAUAAAGCGCACGUAGGCGGGAAGAUGUGUCGGUGGUGAAAGCCCCCAGCUCAACUGGGUGAACUGCCUUCGAAACUGUCUUUCUUGAGGCCGAGAGGGGUGAGUGGAACUUCUGGUGGAGCGGUGAAAUGCGUAG
rnacentral:rRNA from 1 species